rnacentral:rRNA from 1 species
AGUGAACGCUGGCGGCAGGCCUAACACAUGCAAGUCGAACGGCAGCACAGUGGAGCUUGCUCCAUGGGUGGCGAGUGGCGGACGGGUGAGGAAUGCAUCGGAAUCUGCCUAUUUGUGGGGGAUAACGUAGGGAAACUUACGCUAAUACCGCAUACGUCCUACGGGAGAAAGUGGGGGACCUUCGGGCCUCACGCAGAUAGAUGAGCCGAUGCCGGAUUAGCUAGUUGGCGGGGUAAAGGCCCACCAAGGCGACGAUCCGUAGCUGGUCUGAGAGGAUGAUCAGCCACACUGGAACUGAGACACGGUCCAGACUCCUACGGGAGGCAGCAGUGGGGAAUAUUGGACAAUGGGCGCAAGCCUGAUCCAGCCAUGCCGCGUGUGUGAAGAAGGCCUUCAGGUUGUAAAGCACUUUUGUCCGGAAAGAAAAGCGCUCGAUUAAUACUCGGGUGUUAUGACGGUACCGGAAGAAUAAGCACCGGCUAACUUCGUGCCAGCCGCCGCCGUAAUAC